rnacentral:rRNA from 1 species
UACGUAGGAUGCAAGCGUUGUCCGGAAUUAUUGGGCGUAAAGAGCGCGCAGGCGGUCUAUCAAGUCAGAUGUGAAAUAUCCCGGCUUAACCGGGGAGGGGUCAUUUGAAACUGGUAGACUAGAGUACAGCAGAGGAUAGCGGAAUUCCCGGUGUAGUGGUGAAAUGCGUAGAUAUCGGGAGGAACACCAGUGGCGAAGGCGGCUAUCUGGGCUGAAACUGACGCUGAGGAGCGAAAGCGUGGGGAG